rnacentral:rRNA from 1 species
CCUUGACAUCCAGNGAACUUAGCAGAGAUGCUUUGGUGCCUUCGGGAACUCUGAGACAGGUGCUGCAUGGCUGUCGUCAGCUCGUGUUGUGAAAUGUUGGGUUAAGUCCGCAACGAGCGCAACCCUUAUCCUUUGUUGCCAGCGAUUCGGUCGGGAACUCAAAGGAGACUGCCGGUGAUAAACCGGAGGAAGGUGGGGAUGACGUCAAGUCAUCAUGGCCCUUACGGCCAGGGCUACACACGUGCUACAAUGGCGCAUACAAAGAGAAGCGACCUCGCGAGAGCAAGCGGACCUCAUAAAGUGCGUCGUAGUCCGGAUUGGAGUCUGCAACUCGACUCCAUGAAGUCGGAAUCGCUAGUAAUCGUAGAUCAGAAUGCUACGGUGAAUACGUUCCCGGGCCUUGUACACACCGCCCGUCACACCAUGGGAGUGGGUUGCAAAAGAAGUAGGUAGUUUAACCUUCGGGAGGGCGCUUACCACUUUGUGAUUCAUGACUGGGGUGAAGUCGUAACAAGGUAAGCGUAGACGU